rnacentral:rRNA from 1 species
CAGCAGCCGCGGGAACACGUAGGUGGCAAGCGUUGUCCGGAAUUAUUGGGCGUAAAGGGCUCGCAGGCGGUUUCUUAAGUCUGAUGUGAAAGCCCCCGGCUCAACCGGGGAGGGUCAUUGGAAACUGGGAAACUUGAGUGCAGAAGAGGAGAGCGGAAUUCCACGUGUAGCGGUGAAAUGCGUAGAGAUGUGGAGGAACACCAGUGGCGAAGGCGACUCUCUGGUCUGUAACUGACGCUGAGGAGCGAAAGCGUGGGGAGCGAACAGGAUUAGAUACCCCUGUAGUCCCUGUCUCUUAUAC